UCAGCGUCAGUAUUAAUGCAGGAUGAGCCGCCUUCGCCACUGGAUGUUCCUCCUGAUAUCUACGCAUUUCACCGCUACACCAGAAAUUCCACCCCCCUCUAUCAUACUCUAGUCUGACAGUUCUGACAUGCAGUUCCCAGGUUGAGCCCGGGGCUUUCACAUCUAACUUAUCAAACCACCUACGCGCGCUUUACGCCCAGUAAUUCCGAUUAACGCUCGCACCCUCCGU
rnacentral:rRNA from 1 species